CCUACGGGAGGCAGCAGUGAGGAAUAUUGGUCAAUGGGCGGGAGCCUGAACCAGCCAAGUCGCGUGAAGGAAGAAGGUACUUAGUAUUGUAAACUUCUUUUGUCGGGGAACAAAGGCGGAGACGCGUCUCCGGAUGAGUGUACCCGAAGAAAAAGCAUCGGGUAACUCCGUGCCAGCAGCCGCGGUAAUACGGGGGAUGCGUGGGUUAUCCGGAUUUAUUGGGUUAAAGGGGUGCGAAGGCGGGGGAUAAAGUCAGCGGUAAAAUGUCGGGGCUCAACCCCGGCCGGCCGUUGAAACUGGUAGUCUAGAGUUGGAGAGAAGUAUGCGGAAUUCGUGGUGUAGCAGUGAAAUGCAUAGAUAUCGCGAAGAACUCCGAUUGCGAAGGCAGCAUACCGGCUCCAUACUGACGCUGAGGCACGAAAGCGUGGGGAUCGAACAGGAUUAGAUACCCCUGUAGUC
rnacentral:rRNA from 1 species